rnacentral:sRNA from 1 species
GCCUAGCCCCGAUAGAAACGGCAUCCUUUUUCCUGCUUCUUUAGCAGGGAAAAGAUAGAGUGAAUAGCGGGACAAAAG